AGAAUCAACGCUGGCGGCGUGCCUAACACAUGCAAGUCGAACGAGAAAGGGUAGCAAUACCUGAGUAAAGUGGCGCACGGGUGAGUAACACGUGACUAACCUACCUUUUAGUGGGGGGAUAACCUAGGGAAACCUGGGCUAAUACCGCAUAAUACCUACGGGUCAAAGCAGCAAUGCGCUGAAAGAGGGGGUCGCGGUCGAUUAGUUAGUUGGCAGGGUAAUGGCCUACCAAGACUGUGAUCGAUAUCCGGCCUGAGAGGGCGCACGGACACACUGGAACUGAAACACGGUCCAGACUCCUACGGGAGGCAGCAGUGGGGAAUUUUGCGCAAUGGGGGAAACCCUGACGCAGCAACGCCGCGUGGAGGAUGAAGUCCCUUGGGACGUAAACUCCUUUCGAUCGGGACGAUAAUGACGGUACCGGAAGAAGAAGCCCGGCUAACUUCGCGCCAGCAGCCGC
rnacentral:rRNA from 1 species